rnacentral:lncRNA from 10 species
UUGCAGUCCAUCCCUUGCAACCGUCCAACCUGGCCCUAGCAGAGGAAAGGCGUCCUCGUAGCUCCGCCAUUGGAAAUCGGCUUCAUCCUGCCCUUUGUGGCCUCCUGAGAGAUUUGUAAACCCCACCUCCCUUAGCACUGUGGUCUCAAGCCAGGAGAACAUCCAUACAUGUAUUUAUGAUCGUGCUUCUGCCUCGCCUCGUUCACCUCUGGCUUGUACCACAGCACGCAGGCUCGAACCACUUCGGGCCUUUGUGCUUGCCGAUUUCUCUGGCAGAACAUUUCCUCCAGAUUUUUUUUAACUCCUCGAUGUUCGAUGCAUAUUUCAGGUCCCUUCUCAGAGGGCUGCCCAGACCACUGUAUCCAAAAAAAGUACACCUGCACCAUUGCUUUAACUCUUCACCUGCUUUUAUUUCUUCAUAACAGUUACAACUUCCAGACCUUAUUUGUCAGUAUCCUCACCACCAGAAAUGUAAAAUUUUUAAAAGCAGGGACUUAGUAAACUGUUUUGCUCAUUGCUGUAUCCCCAGAAUUGUGUCUGGCACAAAGCAGUGCUCAGUAAUAUCAAAACAGAUCUACCAACUAUAUUGAGCAUGUAGGAAAAUAAAGCCCAACACACAUUAAUGAAGAUAAAUAACUUCAUCAUUUAUGAGCUGUGGAAAAACAGCUAAACCUCCUUCCGUGGCUAUAAAGAUUAUGUUCCAAAAAUAUAAAAUCCAGUGGUAGAAGCCGUUAACUGGGGCUCUUCUUUGACAAUUGUCCAGUGCUGUUUCAUUACUUUUGUUUUCCUUUGCAACACUAUUUUUUUUUUCGGGCAAGUGGAUACGUGUUGUGCCU